GUGAGCGCUGGCGGUAGGCCUAACACAUGCCAGUCGAACGGCAGCACAGGAGAGCUUGCUCUCUGGGUGGCGAGUGGCGGACGGGUGAGGAAUACAUCGGAAUCUGCCCAGUCGUGGGGGAUAACGUAGGGAAACUUACGCUAAUACCGCAUACGACCUUCGGGUGAAAGAGGGGGAUCGCAAGACCUCUCGCGAUUGGAUGAGCCGAUGUCGGAUUAGCUAGUUGGCGGGGUAAUGGCCCACCAAGGCGACGAUCCGUAGCUGGUCUGAGAGGAUGAUCAGCCACACUGGAACUGAGACACGGUCCAGACUCCUACGGGAGGCAGCAGUGGGGAAUAUUGGACAAUGGGCGCAAGCCUGAUCCAGCCAUACCGCGUGGGUGAAGAAGGCCUUCGGGUUGUAAAGCCCUUUUGUUGGGAAAGAAAUCUUUCAGGCUAAUACCCUGGGAGGAUGACGGUACCCAAAGAAUAAGCACCGGCUAACUUCGUG
rnacentral:rRNA from 1 species